CCUACGGAUAGCAGCCGUGAGGAAUAUUGGUCAAUGGGCGGGAGCCUGAACCAGCCAAGUCUCGUGAGGGAAGACGGUCCUACGGAUUGUAAACCUCUUUUGCCGGGGAGCAACGGAGUCCUUGCGAGUGCCCGAUGAGAGUACCCGGAGAAAAAGCAUCGGCUAACUCAGUGCCAGCAGCCGCCGUAAUACGGAGGAUGCUAGCGUUCUCAGGAUUUAUUUGGUUUAAAGGGUGCGUAGGCGGGCUGUUAGGUAAGCGGUCAAAUGUCGGGACUCAACCCCGGCCUGCCGUUGAAACUGGCGGCCUCGAGUGGGCGAGAAGUAUGCGGAAUGCGUGGUGUAGCGGUGAAAUGCAUAGAUAUCACGCAGAACUCCGAUUGCGAAGGCAGCAUACCGGCGCCCGACUGACGCUGAGGCACGAAAGCGUGGGUAUCGAACAGGAUUAGAUACCCUAGUAGUC
rnacentral:rRNA from 1 species